rnacentral:tRNA from 1 species
UUCCUGGUGGUCUAGUGGACUAAGACUCUGCACUCCCAAUGCAAGGGUCCCAGGUUCAAUCCCUGAUCAGGGAA